GGUUAAGUGAAUAAGGGCGCACGGUGGAUGCCUUGGCACUAGGAGCCGAUGAAGGACGGGACUAACACCGAUAUGCUUCGGGGAGCUGUAAGUAAGCUUUGAUCCGGAGAUUUCCGAAUGGGGAAACCCAGCAUCUUUUAUAGGAUGUUACUUUUCAGUGAAUACAUAGCUGAUUAGAGGUAGACGCAGAGAACUGAAACAUCUAAGUACCUGCAGGAAGAGAAAGAAAAAUCGAUUCCCUGAGUAGCGGCGAGCGAAACGGGAAAAGCCCAAACCAAGAGGCUUGCCUCUUGGGGUUGUAGGACUCCGAUAUGGUAGUCCAGUGAGAUAGUCGAAGGACCUGGAAAGGUCUGCUAGAAAGGGUAAAAGCCCCGUAGACAAAAUUUGACUGGCACCUAGGAGGAUCCUGAGUACGGCGGAACACGAGGAAUUCCGUCGGAAUCCGGGAGGACCAUCUCCCAAGGCUAAAUACUCCCUAGUGACCGAUAGUGAACCAGUACCGUGAGGGAAAGGUGAAAAGCACCCCGGAAGGGGAGUGAAAUAGAUCCUGAAACCGUGUGCCUACAACAAGUUAGAGCCCGUUAAUGGGUGAUAGCGUGCCUUUUGUAGAAUGAACCGGCGAGUUACGAUUACUUGCGAGGUUAAGUUGAAAAGACGGAGCCGCAGCGAAAGCGAGUCUGAAUAGGGCGAAUGAGUAAGUGGUCGUAGACCCGAAACCAUGUGAUCUACCCAUGUCCAGGUUGAAGGUGCGGUAAAACGCACUGGAGGACCGAACCCACGUACGUUGAAAAGUGCGGGGAUGAGGUGUGGGUAGCGGAGAAAUUCCAAACGAACUUGGAGAUAGCUGGUUCUCUCCGAAAUAGCUUUAGGGCUAGCCUCAGAGUAAGAAUGAUGGAGGUAGAGCACUGUUUGGACUAGGGGCCCAUCUCGGGUUACCGAAUUCAGAUAAACUCCGAAUGCCAU
rnacentral:rRNA from 1 species